rnacentral:tRNA from 1 species
UCAGUUAGGUAGAGCACCUCGUUUACACGAGCGCCAAUGACGGUUCGAGUCCGUAUAGCCCUAAUAUUCCUACG